AAUAUAGUUGAAAAUCACCAAACUUGUCAAAAGAAACUUCGUUUGCAAACCACUUUACAUAAAAAAAACAUACAUCAAAUAUCUAAAAUAACCAAAACAUGAAGAAGAUAAACCAUCGUUUAACACCUUUUUAUUUUUGUUAAUUGAAUUUGAUUGCAUAAAAUUAAUAUAGUGGGAAGUAGGCUAUAGUUUUUACAAAGCUCACUAAAUAAUAUAACUGAACCUUAGCAAUUCUUGCUGAGAAUGCCCUUUGCACACUACCCUUUUUCAAUUCUACCCUUUCCUAUUUGUCAUUUUUAUUUCUACCCUCUUUAAAUUUUUAAUGACUAUUUUACCCCUAUUUAAAAAAUGUUUUAGGUUAAGAAAAUGAAAUAUUAAUAUUUUUUGCCUAAAAUAUUCUAAAAUAAAUUUCCCGCCAAAAUUUUCCCGCCAU
rnacentral:sRNA from 1 species